rnacentral:lncRNA from 1 species
AAUAAAAUUUUAGUUUUUUUCGACAUCGUUUACUUAGUAAAUAAAUUAUGUCAAAAUGGACGGUGGAAAUUGAAUAAUCUUUAAAAUUUGAGUAUAGAACUUUUAAAUUCAAGAUCAAAAAUGUUAACCUUAAUCUAGAUUGUUUAAAAUAUUUUCUAUCAAAAUUUGAAGAAAUUCAGAUUCUUCUGUACCGUUAAACUCCAAACUCGCUAUAGUAGCCAUUGAAAAUUAACAAUUUUGAAAUUGUUUGAUCAUAAAGUAAACUAUGUCGAAAAAAUAUAAAAUUUUAUUUCUAAAAACUUUAAAUACCCUAGAUCAGUUUUGACGGUGUGGAUUGUUGAUUUGAACAUCCUAAAAUCGAAAAUGAAACUAUAGUACCGGAGACCCGGUACUAUAGAUAGUAUAGGAGACUUUAAAUACCCUAGAUCAGUUUUAACGGUGUGGAUUGUUGAUUUGAACAUCCUAAAAUCGAAAACGAAACUAUAGUACCGGAGACCCGGUACUAUAGAUAGUAUAGGAGACUAGCUCUAUAUAUAUAUAUAUAUAUAUAUAUAUAUAUAUAUAUAUAUAUAUAGUAGGUCUUGUGUGUUACCGUGCUCCUAAGCCGUUUUUGAUGAUGGAGCUUUUAAAUCGCCGAUCGGCUCCGUUAGAUUUGAUCUAUGUAGAAAAUAAAUUUUGCGAUUUUUCGAUAUCAUUUAUCUAACAAUCAAAAAAGUUCGAAAUCAAUAAUUUUUAAUGGUUGAUGUAUGUUGUUUGCAAGUUUAACAGUAUAGAAGUAUUCAAAUCAGAUGAAAUUUUGAUAAAAAAUUUUUAUACUAUUUACUGCAAGAUUCAUAUCUCUGAUCGAAAAUUUUAGUGCUAUAUUAUCAAUUUUUUUUGAGAUUUUUAUUUUCAGCUGUUGAUUUUGAACCCUUUCAAUCACUAGGUAAAUGAUAUCGAAAAUUCGCAAAAUUUAUUUUUCAAAUACUUUAAAUAAAAUAGAUUAAGUUUAACGGAGUCGAUUGUCGAUUCGGAAGUUCCAUCAUCGAAAACGACUUACGAGCAUGGAGGCCUCCGUGCUCCUAAUAGCACACAAGACCUACUCUAUAUAGAGCUUGGCUCAAAUAUUAUUGAUAGUAUUUGCUUUUUUUGCUAUUAAGUUUUUAAUUCUUGAGUAAGAAAUUGUAGGAUUAUGAUGAUAUUAGUCCCUUAGGAUUGAGUGCACCCCCCAGGAUUGAGUGGUCUCAACUGAGUUAUAAUAUUUAAUUCAAUGGUUAGAAAUGAUCAAAGAAAUUAAUCCAAAGGUUAAAAACAUGAUAGCAAAAGAGGAUAAAUACUAUUAAUAAUAUUCUAGCCCAACUCCUAUAUAU